rnacentral:rRNA from 1 species
AAUCAACGCUGGCGGCGUGCCUAACACAUGCAAGUCGUACGCGAAAGGGGCUUCGGCCCUGAGUAGAGUGGCAAACGGGUGAGUAACACGUGGGUGACCUGCCUUCGAGUGGGGGAUAAC